AGCGAACGCUGGCGGCAUGCCUAACACAUGCAAGUCGCACGGGGGGGCUUCGGCCUCCCAGUGGCGGACGGGUGAGGAACGCGUAGGGACCUGUCGAGGGGUGGGGGGUAACCGCGGGAAACUGCGGCUAAUACCGCAUGACGCCGCGGCGUGACAGCCGGGGCCAAAGGCGAAAGCCGCCCGCCGAGGGGCCUGCGUCCGAUUAGCUGGUUGGCGGGGUAGCGGCCCACCAAGGCGUCGAUCGGUAGCUGGUCUGAGAGGGUGAUCAGCCACACCGGGACUGAGACACGGCCCGGACUCCUACGGGAGGCAGCAGUGGGGAAUAUUGGACAAUGGGCGCAAGCCUGAUCCAGCAAUGCCGCGUGGGUGAAGAAGGUCUUCGGAUUGUAAAGCCCUUUCGGCGGGGACGAUGGUGACGGUACCCGCAGAAGAAGCCCCGGCUAACUUCGUG
rnacentral:rRNA from 1 species